AAACUUAAAAUUGGUGUCCAGGGUCCAUACGUAUGUUAUUAAAGGCACCUAAAACAUCAUGUUUGUUGUUCGUCAUCGUCAUCAUAAUAUAUCCUUAGCCGCCACCAGACCCAUACUUCUUGCCGAAGACGAUCACCUGGAGCUUGUCGUACCCAGCAAGGACACCAGCACCAGCAACAGCACGGAGGAUGUUUGCCCCAGCACCCUUGAAGAGGGACUUGGUACCCUCCUUUGCAACAAUCUGCUUGAAAGCAUCCAAGGAGCUGUUGUACUUGACGGCCUCACCAGAUGUCAUCAUCAUGCGACGGCGAACAGUAUCAAUGGGGUAAGAGGCAAGGCCAGCACCAAUGGUUAUACCCCAGCCGAGCAAGAAGCUGGCUAAGAAGUUGUCCUGCAGAACACACCAGUGAACACAAUAUUAAUAAGAUUCAGUAAAAGACCACAUUUGACCUAAGUUUCAAAAAGAAAGGAUCAAUAUGCGAAUCAAUAAGCACAAGAAAAUUGAUUACGCAAAAAAACUGUACCAAAAUUUGAGCAGGGGACAAGCAAUUAUGAUUCAAAGCGGGUUAACACUACCAUUGUAAUUAGCAAUCUGGGUUCAGGUUACUGACCUGCAGGGUACCAACAAGAAGCACUGGCUUCAGGGAGUCAUACAUACCAAAGUAAAGACCUCGGUACACAAUGAUUCCCACACAAGAGAUAUUGAAUCCACGGUAGAGGCCGCGAAU
rnacentral:lncRNA from 1 species